rnacentral:rRNA from 1 species
GAGUUUGAUUCUGGCUCAGGAUGAACGCUAGCGAUAGGCUUAACACAUGCAAGUCGAGGGGCAUCACGGGAUUAGCUUGCUAAUUUUGGUGGCGACCGGCGUAAGGGUGCGUAACGCGUAUGCAACUUGCCUGUCAGUGGGGAAUAACCCGGAGAAAUCCGGACUAAUACCGCAUACACUUUAGUUUCCGCAUGGGGGCUUUAGGAAAGAUUUAUUGCUGACAGAUAGGCAUGCGUUCCAUUAGAUAGUUGGUGAGGUAACGGCUCACCAAGUCAACGAUGGAUAGGGGAGCUGAGAGGCUUAUCCCCCACACUGGAACUGAGACACGGUCCAGACUCCUACGGGAGGCAGCAGUGAGGAAUAUUGGUCAAUGGGCGAGAGCCUGAACCAGCCAAGUCGCGUGAAGGAAGACGGUCCUAUGGAUUGUAAACUUCUUUAGUAGGUGAGUACAAGCAGUUACGUGUAGCUGUAGCAAGUACCUAGA